rnacentral:rRNA from 1 species
ACACGACUACAUUAGAUACCCGCGUAGUCCCAGCCCUAAACGAUGCGCGUUAGGUGUAUCGGUGACCACGAGUCACCGAGGUGCCGAAGGGAAACCGUGAAACGUGCCGCCUGGGAAGUACGGUCGCAAGGCUGAAACUUAAAGGAAUUGGCGGGGAGCACCACAACGGGUGGAGCCUGCGGUUUAAUUGGACUCAACGCCGGGAAGCUCACCGGAUAAGACAGCGGAAUGAUUGCCGGGCUGAAGAUCCUGCAUGACCAGCUG